AGAGUUUGAUCAUGGCUCAGAUUGAACGCUGGCGGCAGGCCUAACACAUGCAAGUCGAGCGGUAGCACAGAGAGCUUGCUCUCGGGUGACGAGCGGCGGACGGGUGAGUAAUGUCUGGGAAACUGCCUGAUGGAGGGGGAUAACUACUGGAAACGGUAGCUAAUACCGCAUAACGUCGCAAGACCAAAGUGGGGGACCUUCGGGCCUCAUGCCAUCAGAUGUGCCCAGAUGGGAUUAGCUGGUAGGUGGGGUAACGGCUCACCUAGGCGACGAUCCCUAGCUGGUCUGAGAGGAUGACCAGCCACACUGGAACUGAGACACGGUCCAGACUCCUACGGGAGGCAGCAGUGGGGAAUAUUGCACAAUGGGCGCAAGCCUGAUGCAGCCAUGCCGCGUGUGUGAAGAAGGCCUUCGGGUUGUAAAGCACUUUCAGCGGGGAGGAAGGCGAUAAGGUUAAUAACCUUGUCGAUUGACGUUACCCGCAGAAGAAGCACCGGCUAACUCCGUGCCAGCAGCCGCGGUAAUACGGAGGGUGCAAGCGUUAAUCGGAAUUACUGGGCGUAAAGCGCACGCAGGCGGUCUGUCAAGUCGGAUGUGAAAUCCCCGGGCUCAACCUGGGAACUGCAUUCGAAACUGGCAGGCUAGAGUCUUGUAGAGGGGGGUAGAAUUCCAGGUGUAGCGGUGAAAUGCGUAGAGAUCUGGAGGAAUACCGGUGGCGAAGGCGGCCCCCUGGACAAAGACUGACGCUCAGGUGCGAAAGCGUGGGGAGCAAACAGGAUUAGAUACCCUGGUAGUCCACGCUGUAAACGAUGUCGAUUUGGAGGUUGUGCCCUUGAGGCGUGGCUUCCGGAGCUAACGCGUUAAAUCGACCGCCUGGGGAGUACGGCCGCAAGGUUAAAACUCAAAUGAAUUGACGGGGGCCCGCACAAGCGGUGGAGCAUGUGGUUUAAUUCGAUGCAACGCGAAGAACCUUACCUGGUCUUGACAUCCACAGAACUUAGCAGAGAUGCUUUGGUGCCUUCGGGAACUGUGAGACAGGUGCUGCAUGGCUGUCGUCAGCUCGUGUUGUGAAAUGUUGGGUUAAGUCCCGCAACGAGCGCAACCCUUAUCCUUUGUUGCCAGCGGUCCGGCCGGGAACUCAAAGGAGACUGCCAGUGAUAAACUGGAGGAAGGUGGGGAUGACGUCAAGUCAUCAUGGCCCUUACGACCAGGGCUACACACGUGCUACAAUGGCAUAUACAAAGAGAAGCGACCUCGCGAGAGCAAGCGGACCUCAUAAAGUAUGUCGUAGUCCGGAUUGGAGUCUGCAACUCGACUCCAUGAAGUCGGAAUCGCUAGUAAUCGUAGAUCAGAAUGCUACGGUGAAUACGUUCCCGGGCCUUGUACACACCGCCCGUCACACCAUGGGAGUGGGUUGCAAAAGAAGUAGGUAGCUUAACCUUCGGGAGGGCGCUUACCACUUUGUGAUUCAUGACUGGGGUGAAGUCGUAACAAGGUAACCGUAGGGGAACCUGCGGUUGGAUCACCU
rnacentral:rRNA from 2 species